AAUCUGUGAUAAUAUAGUUUAGUUGAAAACUAAUUGUUAUCACCAUUAUCAGUGGACUUCGAGGUUACACACUGCAGUCAAUGUUGUAUCGAAUAUUUAAUUAAUAUAGACAUGUGCAUUUUUUUUAAGUAGGCAGAUAGAGAGCGCUAAAUUAACUUUGCGUUACUAUGUACUCGUUUACUACUUAAAAAUAUGUGAAUAUAUUUGUUUCCAUGGAAAUUAAGUGUCAGAAGAGUUUUAUCAUGGUUUUAGCGACACAAACACAAGAAAAGCCAACCUUAAUGGCAAACCAAGACAUAAACUGAAAAUAUUUUAGUCAAAACAGGCUCAUUGCAUCAUCAUCAUCCAGGUUAGCCGUUGUCAACUAAAAAAGUUUCACAAAUUUUGCAAAAGCAUAUUUCGAUCCUCAUCACCAAAAGCCAGAUCAACCACAAUCCAAAAUAUAUAAGUAACAACAAUUACCACAACCAGUCCAUCUUCGAUCGUGAAUUCCUUUUCAAGCUCUUUUAACUCCGGAAGCAAGUGCAUGCAAUUUAUGCAGCAGUAUGUAAAGAAAUCUAAAAGUACAACUUUUCCACGGAGAUGAGUCUUAAACGAUAAUGGUUCGCUCGUAUUAAACCACUCCAAUCCUAUAAAAAAAGUUUGGUUUAUGUUCAUCCUAAAUGAAAAUUGAACUAUCCUUAUCGCUGUCCCCCCUUUCUGUUAUAAAAGUCACAAAUUCCUCAUGAGAAGCUAAUAUGUCAGUCAUUAUAAAUUAGUAUAUAAUUUGUAUUUAAAAACUUGCUAUUACUAUAAAUAAACAGAUCCAAG